CCUACGGGACGCAGCAGUGGGAGAUAUUGCACAAUGGGGGAAACCCUGAUGCAGCGACGCCGCGUGGGUGAAGAAGCGCCUCGGCGCGUAAAGCCCUGUCAGCAGGGAAGAAUAAUGACGGUACCUGACUAAGAAGCCCCGGCUAACUACGUGCCAGCAGCCGCGGUAAUACGUAGGGGGCAAGCGUUAUCCGGAUUUACUGGGUGUAAAGGGAGCGUAGACGGCUGUGCAAGUCUGAAGUGAAAUGCCGGGGCUCAACCCCGGAACUGCUUUGGAAACUGUACCGCUAGAGUGCAGGAGGGGUG
rnacentral:rRNA from 1 species